GCAAGAACGUGCCGUCUACACGUUUUUGCCGUCUUAAAGGUGCUUUCCGAUUUGGCACAGGGAAGCAAAGACGAAAGGA
rfam:Atopobium parvulum DSM 20469, complete genome.